rnacentral:rRNA from 1 species
CCUACGGGAGGCAGCAGUGGGGAAUUUUGGACAAUGGGCGAAAGCCUGAUCCAGCAAUGCCGCGUGAGUGAAGAAGGCCUUCGGGUUGUAAAGCUCUUUUGUCAGGGAAGAAACGGUGAGAGCUAAUAUCUCUUGCUAAUGACGGUACCUGAAGAAUAAGCACCGGCUAACUACGUGCCAGCAGCCGCGGUAAUACGUAGGGUGCAAGCGUUAAUCGGAAUUACUGGGCGUAAAGCGUGCGCAGGCGGUUUUGUAAGUCUGAUGUGAAAUCCCCGGGCUCAACCUGGGAAUUGCAUUGGAGACUGCAAGGCUAGAAUCUGGCAGAGGGGGGUAGAAUUCCACGUGUAGCAGUGAAAUGCGUAGAUAUGUGGAGGAACACCGAUGGCGAAGGCAGCCCCCUGGGUCAAGAUUGACGCUCAUGCACGAAAGCGUGGGGAGCAAACAGGAUUAGAUACCCUGGUAGUCCACGCCCUAAACGAUGUCUACUAGUUGUCGGGUCUUAAUUGACUUGGUAACGCAGCUAACGCGUGAAGUAGACCGCCUGGGGAGUACGGUCGCAAGAUUAAAACUUAAGGAAUUGACGG